GACAGAGAUGGCAGGAGAAACAAAUGGCACUUCCCUUGUCAUCCCUUUGCUGAGGUUUGUUGGGUCACACCAUCUGUGGCAAUGGCUUUCACCAGCUGCAGGACUGGGUUUUCACUGUCUUUCAGAACAGCAUUUUGAAAUGUGGAGCUGUCACAGAAGGCACAACAUAAGCACUGAAAAAAUGCAUCAAAUGCACAGUUUCAUCUGCAUGGAGCCAUUCGGUACAUGAAGAGAGGUAGGAAGUCCUCUUCCUUUUUUUGGGUGGAACAGCUAGGCCCCUCCAGUUCUCAACUGCAUCCCCAUCAGCCGGAAGA